rnacentral:rRNA from 1 species
UACGGAGGGUGCAAACGUUGCUCGGAAUUAUUGGGCGUAAAGCGCACGUAGGCGGUUUGUUAAGUCGGGUGUGAAAGCCCCGGGCUCAACCCGGGAAGUGCAUUCGAAACUGGCAAGCUUGAAUAUGGAAGAGGGUCGCGGAAUUCCCGGUGUAGAGGUGAAAUUCGUAGAUAUCGGGAGGAACACCAGUGGCGAAGGCGGCGACCUGGGCCAAUAUUGACGCUGAGGUGCGAAAGCGUGGGGAGCAAACAGG